rnacentral:rRNA from 1 species
UACGUAGGGGGCGAGCGUUGUCCGGAAUCAUUGGGCGUAAAGCGCGUGUAGGCGGCCCGGUAAGUCCGCUGUGAAAGUCCAGGGCUCAACCCUGGGAUGCCGGUGGAUACUGUCGGGCUCGAGUCCGGAAGAGGCGAGUGGAAUUCCUGGUGUAGCGGUGAAAUGCGCAGAUAUCAGGAGGAACACCAAUGGCGAAGGCAGCUCGCUGGGACGUGACUGACGCUGAGGCGCGAAAGCGUGGGGAGCAAAUAGG